rnacentral:rRNA from 1 species
AUUGCACAGACAACCAGGAUGUUGGCUUAGAAGCAGCCACUCAUUUAAAGAGUGCGUAAUAGCUCACUGGUCGAGUGAUUCUGCGCCGAAAAUUUCCGGGGCUAAAACUUACUACCGAAGCUACGGCAUCAUUAUGAUGGGUAGGGGAGCUUUCUAUGUGGCUUGAAGCAUGACCGUAAGGACAUGUGGACUGCAUAGAAGUGAGAAUGUUGGCAUGAGUAGCGAGAUGUGGGUGAGAAUCCCACAGGCCGUAAACCCAAGGUUUCCAGGGGAAGGUUCGUCCGCCCUGGGUUAGUCAGGACCUAAGCCGAGGCCGAAAGGCGUAGGUGAUGGACAACAGGUUGAUAUUCCUGUACCACCAAUAACCGUUUGAGAAAUGGGAUGACACAGUAGGAUAAGCUAACCGCACUGUUGGUUAUGUGCGGGCAAGUAUUGAGGCAGUUCCGAUAGGCAAAUCCGUCGGAAUAAUGCUGGGGUACGAUGCGGAGCGAAAUUUAGUAGCGAAGUAGCUGAUUUCACACUGUCGAGAAAAGUCUCUAUCGAGGUUAAAGGUGCCUGUACCGCAAACCGACACAGGUGGGUGAGGAGAGUAUCCUAAGGCCAGCGAGAGAACUGUUGUUAAGGAACUCGGCAAAAUGACCCCGUAACUUAGGGAGAAGGGGUGCCUUCGAAAGAAGGCCGCAGAGAAUAGGCCCAAGCGACUGUUUACCAAAAACAUAGGUUUCUGCUAAGUCGCAAGACGAUGUAUAGGAGCUGACGCCUGCCCGGUGCUGGAAGGUUAAGGGGAUCUGUUAGAGCAAUCGAAGCAGUGAACUUAAGCCCCAGUAAACGGCGGCCGUAACUAUAACGGUCCUAAGGUAGCGAAAUUCCUUGUCGGGUAAGUUCCGACCCGCACGAAAGGCGUAACGAUUUGGGCACUGUCUCAACAACAGACUCGGUGAAAUUGUAAUACCGGUGAAGAUGCCGGUUACCUGCGACAGGACGGAAAGACCCCAUGGAGCUUUACUGUAGCUUGACAUUGAGUCUCGGUGCUACAUGUACAGGAUAGGUGGGAGACUAUGAAGCAUGGACGUCAGUCUGUGUGGAGUCAUCCUUGGGAUACCACCCUUGUAGUACUGGGAUUCUAACCAGAGGCCAUGAAUCUGGUCUUGGGACACUGUCAGGUGGACAGUUUGACUGGGGCGGUCGCCUCCCAAAAAGUAACGGAGGCGCUCAAAGGUUCUCUCAGUACGGUCGGAAAUCGUACGAAGAGUGUAAAGGCAAAAGAGAGCUUGAUUGCAAGACAUACAGGUCGAGCAAGGACGAAAGUCGGACUUAGUGAUCCGGUGGUUCCGCAUGGAAGGGCCAUCGCUCAACGGAUAAAAGCUACCCUGGGGAUAACAGGCU